AGUGAACGCUGGCGGUAGGCCUAACACAUGCAAGUCGAACGGCAGCACAGUAAGAGCUUGCUCUUACGGGUGGCGAGUGGCGGACGGGUGAGGAAUACAUCGGACUCUACUUUUUCGUGGGGGAUAACGUAGGGAAACUUACGCUAAUACCGCAUACGACCUACGGGUGAAAGCAGGGGAUCUUCGGACCUUGCGCGAUUGAAUGAGCCGAUGUCGGAUUAGCUAGUUGGCGGGGUAAAGGCCCACCAAGGCGACGAUCCGUAGCUGGUCUGAGAGGAUGAUCAGCCACACUGGAACUGAGACACGGUCCAGACUCCUACGGGAGGGAGCAGUGGGGAAUAUUGGACAAUGGGCGCAAGCCUGAUCCAGCCAUACCGCGUGGGUGAAGAAGGCCUUCGGGUUGUAAAGCCCUUUUGUUGGGAAAGAAAAGCAGCAGGUUAAUACCCCGCUGUUCUGACGGUACCCAAAGAAUAAGCACCGGCUAACUUCGUG
rnacentral:rRNA from 1 species